CAACAGGGAUUGCCUUAGUAACGGCGAGUGAAGCGGCAAAAGCUCAAAUUUGAAAUCUGGCACCUUCGGUGUCCGAGUUGUAAUUUGAAGAAGGUAACUUUGGAGUUGGCUCUUGUCUAUGUUCCUUGGAACAGGACGUCACAGAGGGUGAGAAUCCCGUGCGAUGAGAUGCCCAAUUCUAUGUAAAGUGCUUUCGAAGAGUCGAGUUGUUUGGGAAUGCAGCUCUAAGUGGGUGGUAAAUUCCAUCUAAAGCUAAAUAUUGGCGAGAGACCGAUAGCGAACAAGUACAGUGAUGGAAAGAUGAAAAGAACUUUGAAAAGAGAGUGAAAAAGUACGUGAAAUUGUUGAAAGGGAAGGGCUUGAGAUCAGACUUGGUAUUUUGCGAU
rnacentral:rRNA from 1 species